rnacentral:rRNA from 1 species
AAGCGCGCGUAGGGGGCUUUUUAAGUCUCUGGGUGAAACGCCGGGGCUCAACCCCGAGCGAGCCGGGGAUACUGGGGAGCUGGAGACAGGCAGAGGCCAGUGGAAUUCCGGGUGUAGCGGUGGAAUGCGUAGAGAUCCGGAAGAACACCGGAGGCGAAGGCGGCUGGCUGGGCCUGAUCUGACGCUGAGGUGCGAAAGCGUGGGGAGCGAACAGG